AACGUAGGAGGCAAGCGUUAUCCGGAGUUACUGGGCGUAAAGCGCGUGUAGGCGGUUGAGCAGGUCAGAUGUGAAAGCUCCCAGGCUAAACCGGGAGAGGUCAUUUGAAACCGCUCGGCUAGAGUGUGGUAGAGGGAUGUGGAAUUCCGGGUGUAGUGGUGAAAUGCGUAGAUAUCCGGAGGAACACCAGUGGCGAAGGCGGCAUCCUGGGCCACAACUGACGCUGAGACGCGAAAGCAUGGGGAGCGAACGGG
rnacentral:misc_RNA from 1 species